UGAGAGACUGAUCGGCCACGUUGGGACUGAGACACGGCCCAAACUCAUACGGGAGGCUGCAGUAGGGAAUCUUCCACAAUGGGCGCAAGCCUGAUGGAGCAACGCCGCGUGUGUGAUGAAGGCUUUCGGGUCGUAAAGCACUGUUGUAUGGGAAGAAUGGCUUAGGUAGGCAAUGACCUAAGAUUGACGGUACCAUACCAGAAAGGGACGGCUAAAUACGUGCCAGCAGCCGCGGUAAUACGUAUGUCCCGAGCGUUAUCCGGAUUUAUUGGGCGUAAAGCGAGCGCAGACGGUUGGUUAAGUCUGAAGUGAAAGCCCACAGCUCAACUGUGGAAUUGCUUUGGAAACUGGCUAACUUGAGUGCAGUAGAGGUAAGUGGAACUCCAUGUGUAGCGGUGGAAUGCGUAGAUAUAUGGAAGAACACCAGUGGCGAAGGCGGCUUACUGGACUGUAACUGACGUUGAGGCUCGAAAGUGUGGGUAGCAAACAGGAUUAGAUACCCUGGUAGUCCACACCGUAAACGAUGAAUACUAGGUGUUAGGAGGUUUCCGCCUCUUAGUGCCGCAGCAAACG
rnacentral:rRNA from 1 species